rnacentral:rRNA from 1 species
GACAGAGGGUGCAAACGUUGUUCGGAAUCACUGGGCGUAAAGGGCGCGUAGGCGGCCGAUCAAGUCGGGGGUGAAAGCCUGUGGCUCAACCACAGAAUUGCCUUCGAUACUGUUUGGCUUGAGACCGGAAGAGGUUAGUGGAACUGCGAGUGUAGAGGUGAAAUUCGUAGAUAUUCGCAAGAACACCAGUGGCGAAGGCGGCUGACUGGUCCGGUUCUGACGCUGAGGCGCGAAAGCGUGGGGAGCAAACAGG